UAUCUCGCGAUUCACCUUCGAUAUGUUUCAUGGCGUUUAGCAGAUGAUCGUGAUCGUCGUCGAAGCGUAGUGGAUUCGCGAAUUGACGACAUCCUGCGGUUCUUUUGUGACCAGAGUUUUCGCGAUCGAUUGGAUUCUCCACCGUGAAAAAAUGGCUGAGGGCGAGGAGAAGCUUACCGGUUUAGCGAAACACUUGAAUAGCCAGACCAUGUAUGGUCGAGCGAACGUGACGAAGGCGACGUAUGCUGGUUUAGCAGUGAUCGCUUUGUACUUCUACUUGAAACCGAGCAAAAAGACGUAGCUCGUGGAUGAGAUCGUAGUUAUAUUAUGUAAUACGAUAUAUUGUGUCGUAUAAUAUCUCCAAAUUCUUCAAAUAAAUAGUUAAAUGAUCUUUUAUAGAUCUUUUUUGUUUGUUGCUUGGUGCUUGUCUCUAUGAAUGAUGUGAUAUGUUGCCAUAGGUAACCAUUAAUUACCAAUACAGCAUACAUAUCACAGUU